rnacentral:lncRNA from 1 species
UUCUAGGGAUUGUGUUUGAAAUAGUCGGAUGGAGCUUAAGUUUUAGGAUCUUUAGAAUUCGUCGGAAAGUUUGAGAGAUGGGCAGACAUUAGGUCAUUAGAUGAAGGUAUUUAUUUGCUUUUGUUAUUGAUAAAUUUAUGUUAUUUUAUCAGAAUUUUGAAAUGCUAAAAUGCAACCUAGUUAUGGCUGUAACCAAAGUGUGAAUAAGUUAUUCUGAGAGUUUUCUUGGUAGAGCAAUUUGUAUUUCAAUGAUUAAUUAGAUUUUGACUAAAUUAAGUGAAGGAAUAUUAAUCAUGAGAUAUUAUCGUGCAAUGUAAUUAUUUUGGAAGUUUAACUUGAUAUCAGGCACUGUGGAUAUUGUUUCCAGUUGAAGUUAAUUAUUUUGGUAGCAAUUUAAGAUUCAUCUAUAAAAAGAUGUUUAAAGCUUGGACUAGAAAAUAUUCAUUGAAAUCUGUAUGUGGAUCAUGCAUGGAGCUCGUAUAUAGAAGGAAAAUAUACUUGGGGAUGAGACUUAAGAAUUUUUAUUUGGCUCUGCUUGAGACUUGAAACAAUUAAGAUUGAUAUUUUGAUGGAAAGUCAAUUAGUAAAUCUUGAGAAUAUUGGCGGAUUAAAAUGUUUUUGGGUUGGUCGAAAAUAGGACUUGUUUGAUUUGGAAAAGUUCUUGAUGCUUUUCCUUGUUUUUUUUUUAAAAAAAA